rnacentral:rRNA from 1 species
GACGUAGGGGGCGAGCGUUAUCCGGAAUUACUGGGCGUAAAGCGCAUGCAGGCGGUCUCUUAAGUUCCUGAUGACAGUUAUCGGCUUAACCGGUGAAGUAGUGGGAAAACUGAGAGACUUGAGAACGAGAGAGGGACAUGGAACUCCGAGUGAAGCAGUGAAAUGCGUAGAUAUUCGGAAGAACACCAAAGGCGAAGGCAAUGUCCUGGCUCGUUUCUGACGCUCAAGUGCGAAAGCCAGGGGAGCGAACGGG